AAGAGUGACAGGUGGUGCAUGGUUGUCGUCAGCUCGUGUCGUGAGAUGUUGGGUUAAGUCCCGCAACGAGCGCAACCCUUAUCUUCAGUAGCCAGCAAUUCGGUUGGGCACUCUGGAGAGACUGCCAGGGAUAACCUGGAGGAAGGUGGGGAUGACGUCAAAUCAUCAUGCCCCUUAUGAUUUGGGCUACACACGUGCUACAAUGGCGUAAACAAAGGGAAGCAGCCCUGUGAAGGUGAGCAAAUCCCAAAAAUAACGUCUCAGUUCGGAUUGUAGUCUGCAACUCGACUACAUGAAGCUGGAAUCGCUAGUAAUCGCGAAUCAGAAUGUCGCGGUGAAUACGUUCCCGGGUCUUGUACACACCGCCCGUCACACCAUGGGAGUCGGAAAUGCCCGAAGUCAGUGACCCAACCGUAAGGAGGGAGCUGCCGAAGGUGGAGCCGGUAACUGGGGUGAAGUCGUAACAAGGUAGUCGUAUCGGAAGGUGCGGUUGGAUCCCUC
rnacentral:rRNA from 1 species